rnacentral:rRNA from 1 species
UGAGCUUGAUCCCUGUCUCAGGAUGAACGCUGGCGGCGUGCCUAAUACAUGCAAGUCGAGCGAAUGGAUUAAGAGCUUGCUCUUAUGAAGUUAGCGGCGGACGGGUGAGUAACACGUGGGUAACCUACCCAUAAGACUGGGAUAACUCCGGGAAACCGGGGCUAAUACCGGAUAAUAUUUUGAACUGCAUAGUUCGAAAUUGAAAGGCGGCUUCGGCUGUCACUUAUGGAUGGACCCGCGUCGCAUUAGCUAGUUGGUGAGGUAACGGCUCACCAAGGCAACGAUGCGUAGCCGACCUGAGAGGGUGAUCGGCCACACUGGGARUGAGACACGGCCCAGACUCCUACGGGAGGCAGCAGUAGGGAAUCUUCCGCAAUGGACGAAAGUCUGACGGAGCAACGCCGCGUGAGUGAUGAAGGCUUUCGGGUCGUAAAACUCUGUUGUUAGGGAAGAACAA